UGCCAGGCGCAGCGCAAUGGAUGCCCGUGAACCAUGUCAGGUCAGGAAUGAAGCAGCAUUAAGCGACGUAUUUCAUGUGCCGUUGUUAGCCUGGCAUUU
rnacentral:SRP_RNA from 1 species